GAGGGUAUAGCUGAGUGGUAGAGGUACAUGCUUAGCAUGCCUGAGAUCCUGGGUUCAAUCCCCAGUACCUCUG
rnacentral:tRNA from 1 species